GCAGAGUCGUGAUAGAAAGUAGAAAGAACAUCGCUGUCCUGUGAGGAAAUCUAACUUAAAUAAUCCCACCAACUUGACCAUUCCACGCUGAGAAUUCCACAAUAGUCACAGCAAAUAACAGAAGAACGUAAGAGACGAUCGAUUGUUGUAUGUAUCCCCAAGUGAGCACAUUGAGCGUAGCUUUUGAACGCUGCUAACCGGCUUCUUUUAUCGGAAGUGUCAACUCAUCUGAUCCAUGUGACGUCACGCCAUUCCCUGACACGUCGUGAGCGAACGAAGAAACGGGGUCCACAACACUCGAUGGGGCAAUACAAACAAAGAGACAUAAAUAACAGCUGUGACUCAUCAACAAUCAAAUGAGCAUUUAAUCAACAGCUUUAUAAAUAUAUCCCUCUUAUGUGGCCGUGCUACAUAGAUCCCCCCCCAGCCAACGGCGUCGGAGCUGGACCCUCCCACUUUGGCGCUAGCGUGGCAGAGAUUUUGAUAGAGGCACUGGAAAGAGGAUGGGUUUUUACCCAAACUAGGUCACCCGGUUGAAACUGCGCAUUUUUUCUACGGGAAUACGCAGCUUGAUCAGGUGAAGGUGGUCGGUGGAUUAGGCGUUCCAGAGGUCCCAGCACUUGCCUACCCAGCAUGAUCUCAGCCGGGGUCUUCCCCGUGCUUUCCUGCUGGGCGGUGUUGAUGGCAUAGCAGAAUUCUGGUAGCCACUGGUCCCAGGUUUGAUGUUGUUGUCCAACAUAUGCAGCAAUCAUUGUUUUUACAGUCCGGUUGAUUCUUUCUGUUAGGUUUGCUUGUGGGUGAUAGUUUGUUGUUAGUCUCUGAACACAACCCCAUGUCUUGCACAGAUC